rnacentral:rRNA from 1 species
UACGAAGGGGGCUAGCGUUGUUCGGAGUUACUGGGCGUAAAGGGCGCGUAGGCGGCGCACCAAGUCAGGCGUGAAAGCCCUGGGCUCAACCUGGGAAUUGCAGUGGAUACUGGCGAGCUAGAGUGCGGUAGAGGAUGGUGGAAUUCCCGGUGUAGCGGUGAAAUGCGUAGAGAUUGGGAGGAACACCCGUGGCGAAGGCGGCGACCUGGGUAGAUACUGACGCUGAGGUGCGAAAGCGUGGGGAGCGAACAGG